AGUCGCGCGGUCAGCAAUGGCAGCGGCGGACGGGUGCGUAACGCGUAGGAACGUGUCUUGAGGUGGGGGACAACCCUGGGAAACUGGGGCUAAUACCGCAUAUGGGCUGAGGCCCAAAGCCGUGAGGCGCCUUAGGAGCGGCCUGCGUCCGAUUAGCUAGUUGGUGGGGUAAAGGCCUACCAAGGCUCCGAUCGGUAGCUGGUCUGAGAGGACGAUCAGCCACACUGGGACUGAGACACGGCCCAGACUCCUACGGGAGGCAGCAGUGGGGAAUAUUGGACAAUGGGCGCAAGCCUGAUCCAGCAAUGCCGCGUGGGUGAAGAAGGUCUUCGGAUCGUAAAGCCCUUUCGACAGGGACGAUGAUGACGGUACCUGUAGAAGAAGCCCCGGCUAACUUCGUGCCAGCAGCCGCGGUAAUACGAAGGGGGCUAGCGUUGCUCGGAAUUACUGGGCGUAAAGGGCGCGUAGGCGGCUUAGUCAGUCAGGCGUGAAAUUCCUGGGCUUAACCUGGGGUCUGCGUUUGAGACGGCUGAGCUAGAGGGUAGGAGAGGGUCGUGGAAUUCCCAGUGUAGAGGUGAAAUUCGUAGAUAUUGGGAAGAACACCGGUGGCGAAGGCGGCGACCUGGCCUAUUACUGACGCUGAGGCGCGACAGUGUGGGGAGCAAACAGGAUUAGAUACCCUGGUAGUCCACGCCGUAAACGAUGUGCGCUGGAUGUUGGGGCCCAUAGGGUCUCAGUGUCGUAGCUAACGCGGUAAGCGCACCGCCUGGGGAGUACGGCCGCAAGGUUGAAACUCAAAGGAAUUGACGGGGGCCCGCACAAGCGGUGGANCAUGUGGUUUAAUUCGAAGCAACGCGCAGAACCUUACCAGCCCUUGACAUGGGCAGGACCGGUCCAGANAUGGGCUUUUCCCGCANGGGACCUGCCGCACAGGUGCUGCAUGGCUGUCGUCAGCUCGUGUCG
rnacentral:rRNA from 1 species